rnacentral:rRNA from 1 species
UACGGAGGGGGCUAGCGUUGUUCGGAAUCACUGGGCUUAAAGGGCGCGUAGGCGGGCCAGCAAGUCCGGGGUGAAAUCUUUCGGCUUAACCGGAAAACAGCCUUGGAUACUGCUGGUCUUGAGGGAGGUAGGGGCCUGUGGAACUUCCGGUGGAGCGGUGAAAUGCGUAGAGAUCGGGAGGAACAUCUGUGGCGAAGGCGGCCAUCUGGACCAGCACUGACACUGAGGCACGAAAGCGUGGGGAGCAAACAGG